GAUCAUUCAUUAUAAUGAUCGGUUGGUCGUGGCCAUCGUCGUCGGAUUUUGUAUCUUUUUUUUUGAUCAUUAUUAAAUAUUCAACAAUCUAAACAUUUAAUGGCUAAUGAAGAACAGGAUUUGAUCAUUCAAGUUCAUUUAAAUAGUUUUGAAAAUUUUUUUUUCUUUGUCAUCAUGCUUGAUAUGAUAUAUGAGAUUCAUAUGGUGAUUCAUUGAAUGGCCAAUGACCAAUGGUUAAUGAUGACCAAACAAACAAAGAAAUGAAGAAAAAAAACAUGAUAAUUAAGAAACCAUAAUAGAUUUCGCAGAAAAAACUGGUCGUUCAGUGUAUGUUGGAUUCCACAAGUCCACCACAAUCAUCUGCUUAUGGCCUUUUCCAUUCCGGUUUUUUGAUCAUCAUCAUCAUCAUAAUGAUUAUUUUCGGUGACAUUACAUACAACUCUCACACACAUACAGAUGAUGAUUGUUGCAACAAAUGGAAAAAUUCUCCCAAUGAUUAAAACAAAAGCAAGUAAACAAAAACGAAAUAAUAAAAUGAGAUUAAUCAUCAUCACGAAUGAGAAUCACAUGAAAAAAAGCUACCAUCAUGAAUGAAUGAAUGAAUGCUGAGAAUCAAAUCAUCAAUUUACCGUAUACCGACGAACUAUAUGUAAUCAAUGAGCCGCCAAAUUUCGAUUCUAUUCGAUUUAUCAAUUAUUAUUUGUUUGACAAAACGAAAACAACAGCAAUUUCGACAUACGAAUCAAUGACACUUGUUGAUUUUUUUUGGUGUAAGAAAGAAACAAACGCUAUCAUCAUCAUCAUCAUCAUGCUUAU